CUUGAACAGAAAUCUUCCUAAGGACUGGAACAAAACUUGUAAUGGGUGUCUUCCCAGAAUUGAUGCACAAGUCAGGAACACAGGUAAAAGAUUGAACAAAAACUUUAAUAUGAACGAUGCAACUACAUAAAAUAAUAAAAUAAGGAAAGUCCCAUAAAUACAGUAGAGUCCCAAAAUGUCCUUAGGAUCCACCUUACGCGUUUCGGCACAAAGCCUUCAUCAGAGGUGCUGUGUUCUGUUCAGGCGAGAAGUCCCUUUUAAACCUUAUUUGGUGCCAUUUUCGCCGUCUUCCCGGCACUUCAUUUCCGGGUUCUGACGUCAGGACGCGUCCUGCGUCGUCACGUGCUGACGUCACUUCCGGUUUCGGCGAAUAUGAUGUGUGGGAACCGUCAUAACAAAAAGUCCAUACGAAUUCAAUAUAUGAAGAUUAUGAAGAUUAAAAACUUCAAAAAAGUGCUCUCACCAUUCUUUCUUAUCUUCACUUGUGCUUAAUGUAGUGGUUAUUGUGGCCCACUAAGGUGAUUGUAGCACCAGUGUUUGUUCAUUAAUUUUUCACUGUGUUGUUUUAUUUUGCUGUACAUCAAUGGCCAGAAUUGGUGGGAACCAGCUUCAGGUACAUAUAUAGUAUCUAUUCUCUUUUGUACCCGUGAGCCACUUCAGGGGACAUAUUCCCCCUUUAAAUGUGACUGAACUGCUUUGAUGUUUUGU